rnacentral:rRNA from 1 species
CGGGAAUUUUGGGCAAUGGGCGAAAGCCUGACCCAGCAACGCCGCGUGAAGGAUGAAAUCCCUCGGGAUGUAAACUUCAUAAGAACGGGAAGAAUAAGUCGGUGCCAACACCACCGGCGAUGACGGUACCGUUAGUAAGCUCCGGCUAACUCCGUGCCAGCAGCCGCGGUAAUACGGGGGGGAGCAAGCGUUGUUCGGAUUUACUGGGCGUAAAGGGCGCGUAGGCGGCCACCGCAAGUCGACUGUGAAAUCUCCGGGCUUAACCCGGAAAGGUCAGCCGAUACUGCGGGGCUAGAGUGCAGAAGGGGCAACUGGAAUUCUCGGUGUAGCGGUGAAAUGCGUAGAUAUCGAGAGGAACACCUGCGGCGAAGGCGGGUUGCUGGGCUGACACUGACGCUGAGGCGCGAAAGCGUGGGGAGCGA